AACGAACGCUGGCGGCAGGCUUAACUCAUGCAAGUCGAGCGCCCCGCAAGGGGAGCGGCAGACGGGUGAGUAACGCGUGGGAAUCUACCCAUCUCUACGGAAUAACGCAUGGAAACGUGUGCUAAUACCGUAUACGUCCUUCGGGAGAAAGAUUUAUCGGAGAUGGAUGAGCCCGCGUUGGAUUAGCUAGUUGGUGGGGUAAAGGCCUACCAAGGCGACGAUCCAUAGCUGGUCUGAGAGGAUGAUCAGCCACACUGGCACUGAGACACGGCCCAGACUCCUACGGGAGGCAGCAGUGGGGAAUAUUGGACAAUGGGCGCAAGCCUGAUCCAGCCAUGCCGCGUGAGUGAUGAAGGCCCUAGGGUUGUAAAGCUCUUUCACCGGUGAAGAUAAUGACGGUAACCGGAGAAGAAGCCCCGGCUAACUUCGUGCCAGCCGCCGCAGUAAAAC
rnacentral:rRNA from 1 species